UCAUGCAAGUCGAACGAGAAAGUCACCUUCGGGUGACGAGUACAGUGGCGAACGGGUGAGUAACACGUGGGCAACCUGCCCCUAGGUUGGGGAUAACACUUCCAACGAGGUGCUAAUACCGAAUGACAAGGCGAGUUGAUGACUCGUUUUUAAAGGUGGCCUCUACUUGUAAGCUGCCGCUUAGGGAUGGGCCCGCGUCGUAUUAGCUUGUUGGUAGGGUAAUGGCCUACCAAGGCGACGAUGCGUAGCCGGCCUGAGAGGGUGAACGGCCACACUGGCACUGAGAUAAGGGCCAGUCUCCUACGGGAGCCAGCAGUCUAGAAAUUUGCACAAUCGCCGAAAGGCGGAUGCAGCGACACCACGUGGAGGAUGAAGCCCCUCGGGGUGUAAACUCCUGUCAGAAGGGAAGAAGGCGCGGGCGUUAAUACCGCUCGUUGCUUGACGGUACCUUCAGAGGAAGCUCCGGCUAACUACGUGCCAGCAGCCGCGGUAAUACGUAGGGAGCGAGCGUUGUUCGGAUUUACUGGGCGUAAAGGGCACGUAGGCGGGUAUGCAAGUCGGUUGUGAAAUCCUCUGGCUCAACUAGAGAACUGCAGCCGAAACUGCACACCUUGAGUCCAGCAGAGGGAAUCGGAAUCCCAGGUGUAGCGGUGAAAUGCGUAGAUAUCUGGGAGAACAUCAGCGGCGAAGGCGGAUUCCUGGGCUGGUACUGACGCUGAGGUGCGAAAGCUAAGGGAGCGAACAGGAUUAGAUACCCUGGUAGUCUUAGCCGUAAACGAUGGGUACUAGGUGUUGGGGGACAUUGACCCCCUCAGUGCCGUAGCUAACGCAUUAAGUACCCCGCCUGGGGAGUACGGCCGCAAGGCUGAAACUCAAAGGAAUUGACGGGGACCCGCACA
rnacentral:rRNA from 1 species